UACAGAGGGUGCAAGCGUUGUUCGGAAUUAUUGGGCGUAAAGCGCGUGUAGGCGGCUUUGCAAGUCGGGUGUGAAAGCCCUCAGCUCAACUGAGGAAGUGCGCCCGAAACUGCAGAGCUUGAGUGCCGGAGAGGGUGGCGGAAUUCCCCAAGUAGAGGGAAUUCGUAGAUAUGGGGAGGAACACCGGUGGCGAAGGCGGCCACCCUGGACGGUAACUGACGCUGAGACGCGAAAGCGUGGGGAGCAACAGG
rnacentral:rRNA from 1 species